CCUCCUGAUUUGCCUCCUGGAUUUGCUAUUUUAGCAUCACAUUCACCACUCUCUCAAAUGGCUAACAUCUCCAUCUCGCAGUCUGAAACUUGAAACAAACUCACAGUAGGCUCAAGUAAGCAACUACACUGUAAAAAUUAAAGGUUCCUGGAUGAUCCUUGAGGAUCAUUUAAGUUAAAAACCAACUUUAAGGUAGGAUCCUUUAGUAUAAUAUAAGGUUAAAAAAAAAAAAACGUACCGUUAAUAUAAGAACCUAUACACCGUCAUCUGUUUGUUUUUGAACCCUGCAGACUUAAGGGGUGCUUUGAAGAAGACUUUUCAAAAGAGGGGUUCAUUUUGGAACCACCAGUGCGCUCAUGAGGAAACGGUGUAUAAUUCAAAUUGAGAACGUUGGUCCAAAGACAACUGGAAGCAGGAAGCGCGCGAAUGGUUGGAGAGAUGCGACAGAUAAGAGAUGACUUGCGACAGAUAAGAGAUGACUUGCAACAGAUCGAUGUGAAAGCCCAUCCCUUUAGUACCUGGUUUAUCCUGUCCAGGUCCAGUUAAGUGGUGGAGAGUUUGGGGGCUGUGAGCUCUGAUCGAGAAAUGUAUCAACCUCCACGAACAGGUUGGUGUAUUGGGGCGGCCUGUUCUGUCCUCUGUAUUUCUGACCAUAUCAACUCAUAAUGGAUCUACAAACAGAUUGAGACUGGUGAGGAUUCCUUCAGUCAGAAGUUACAUGUUGAAAACAUAUGCAGGUGGAGUACCAGAAAAAGAGACCGAACAUAAGUUCCCUACAAGACAAAAUGAAAAGGACUGAAAGAGAGAGAGAGAGAGAACUUUUUAUGAAACAACAAGGCACCAAGGACAUCUUAAAACAGUUCCUAGCACUCCCUUUGUCAGCCGUUGUAAAGUAGACAAAAAGUCUGAUAGAAAUAAAUUGUAAAAAGCACAACUAUUGUAACAUAGCCAAGUACUGUCAUCUGAAUCCAAGAUAUGUUAAUAAUGCAUUAUAAACAAAUUGACUUUCAGAUUUUCUCAGAGAUGAGGAUCAAAUUUGGUAUGUACGUGGACAGAAACAUUCUGUCCGGAUUUGGCAAAAUAGUCGAUAAAAUCAUUGCAGAAACGGAGAGGAGGGGUAUGGCUGUGGAGUUGCUGAAUCUUUACAAGAUGGCAACACAGAUAGAACAAUGAGACAUAUAUUUCACAGGAUGUGUCAUGCCUGCUCUCGCUCCCCCUCUCUGGUGCUCGAGGGUAUCAGGCGGCCCAUCAUUACGCACACCUGUCACCGCCGUUUCGCACAUCAGUGCAUCAUGGGACUCACGUGGACUCUUUUACUUUAUUGAUUGCCUCCCCUAUAUCUGUCACUUCCCAGUGUCCGCAUUAAUGUCAUUUUUGUUCCCCCUGUCCAGAUGCUGUCCUUGUUUUGUUUCUUGUCAGUUAUUUAUUAAAUAUUCACUCCCUGUACUUGCUUCUCAUCUCCCAGCGUCUGUCCCUACAGGAUAUAUAAUUGUGAAGCAUCCGGUUGGCGUUUCUACACACUACCAAAUGUGGUAGUUCAGAAAUGUUCAGAAAUGUGUUCUGGGAAUUGACUCCAGGAACCUUUUAUUUUUACCCAAGCCUACUUGAAGGUAACAGUGCUCAUUGUUGCUCCUAGUGGCCAGUUUCCAGGUCAUCUGACCUAAGACAUGUAUGGACGUUGAAUACUGACUUGUAUCAUGGGUGACCUGCCAGGGGGUAUAACAUUAAAAUGGUAUAGCUAAAAGGCUGUGUUUGUAGAUGGACUGAGGUGAAUGAACCCCCAGAAACCAAGUUGAUAAUGGCUAGGGUAAUUUCUGCUUGUUUUUUCUGUUCUCCAAAAUGCAUUUGAACAUUUUUGAAUUGUAUAGAAAGGCGGUAAAUGAGCAUCAACCCAAUCAAUUUAGCGAUUGGGAAUUUGAAAUGUGUAGCUUCAAAUUAGUGGAAGAUGAGAGAAAAAAAUAUAACUAUCAAAUGUCAAAUUGUGUGUGUGUGUGUGUGUGUGUGUGUGUGUGUGUGUGUGUGUGUGUGUGUGUGUGUGUGUGUGUGUGUGUGUGUGUGUGUGUGUGUGUGUGUGUGUGUGUUAGAGAGAGAGAAAAUAAAGGUUGUUGAGGAAGCCAUUUAAUGAAUGACUAAUUGUGUGAAGAUGUGUGAUUGUUGGAGAGGAGCACGGCGAGAUACUGUAUGUGCACAUCCUGAUCUCUCAUCAUUCACCUCAUUAUUUACCGCCGCGCGUUUUGACACCAUGCAAUUUUCAAAUGUGGCCAUGGCAUGGAGCAAAUAUUCACGGAGUCAAGGUAAAUGAUCUGGGAUAAAAUUCGGAUUGAUUAUUGUCUGAAACCCUCGAAUCAAGACACUGCAGUCAAUGGUCUUUAAUGCGAAAUUAGUGGCUCUAGUUAGUGGCUCUAAUAAUCACAGCCUAAUGAAAAUAAGAGGAGAGAAUGCGUGGCAUUAGAUUCUAUUCUAAUGCCUGCUCAGAAGUCUGGCGAUAAAUAUGCAGUUUUUAUAUGGAUUCUGGCAGUAUGGUGCACCACCGUCUGCUUAUUUGAAAUCGUUGUUCCACUGUCUAGAGUUAAAUGAAUUGAUGUUCAUCCCUUUUGUGGUUUUGAAAGGAAACGAGACUUGAAUAGCAUGUAAUGUGAAGUAGAUAAUAAUCUCACAAAAAAUAUCUUCAAUAUUUGCAACAUUCUGACCUUAGUUCCUUUGUCUUGUCUUUUGUUUUAGUAUGGUCAGGGCGUGAGUUGAGUGGGUUGUCCAUGUUAGUUUGUCUAUGAUUUUCUAUUUCUGUGUAGG